AUUGUUUGUUUUUGUUUUGUUUAAAGUGGUUCUGCUUGAGGGCAUCUAUUUGAUUAUGGAGUAGCCGGUGCCCUGUGUGGAUUUUGCUCCUCCAUUGUGGAACUACAAAAAUUGAGCUGGGGUUCCACGGGUGCAGGAGCUUGAGGUGGUGGUGUCACUUCAUCAUUUGCUGUGGACACGUUUGUGUGUGCAGUGAGUGUGUCGGGGUGUGUGUGUGUGUGGAGGUGUAAGUGUGCUUUUGGCUAAAUUCAGCACUGGUGAUCACUCCCGUGGGUGACCUCAGCCCUUUACCAUUGGAGAGUGCUGCCGGCAGUAGGUGAUGAGGAUUCAAUGUGACUUUUAAAUGGUGAAACAAUUGUGAAAAUAAAUUUUGUACUUUCAUGCUUUA